GGGGGGGGGAGGCCUUGCCGCCGCUGCCGGCUAAGCGGGUCCUCAGGCCGGUCUGCGGGCCGCCCUCAGUGCGCAGUUGCUAAGCCCAAGAUGGUGCAUCUUUCCAUUAACAUCUGUAAAAAUGCACAAAAGACUUUUAAGUAAAACAUGGCCUGAAGAAAGUUAAUGAAGUUGUUAGUAGUCUGCAUCACAGACGAAAAGACUAUGGAUGAUUCUGGUCUUUUCCUUCAGGCCUUGAUGAAUCAUGAAAAUGACAGAAAGUUGAUUUUUCUAAAGGAGCAGCAGCUGUAAGUAAAAAAGAGGAGAAAAAUCAAGAACAAAAUUAAAUAACGGAAAGCUGAUGACAAGAGCUACUGCUGGUGGUGACCAAUCUGUUGUAAGCUGAAAUGUUCUUGCAUCUUAAUGGACCUUUUGCCCUAAUUUACAGAGUCUUUCUUGCUAAUUAACUUUUUUAGAAAGGUCAUGCCUUUUUUUCUGCUAAAGAUCAUGUACUUCAACUAAGAAGUCUUUUAUCAUCUACAGUAGCAAUACAGCAACAUAAAAUUCAGGGGGUUUGAUUAUGAACAAAUUAAUAAAUCAAGAGCAAUAAGCCUGGAGUAUUUCAGACCCCUUUGCCCUGUCCUUACUUUUCAUUGACAGUUAAAGAAUUAUAUAAAGAAUUCCUUUUUGUGUUUGUUUGUCAUGAACAGUGUGAAUAAUCACAUAAGCUUAUGAAGGCAGACAGUUAUCUAGCAGCAGGCUCAUCCACUUCCAGUUUGGAGAUGGAUGGAGUUUCAAACAGAAAGAAAAUGACAUUCUGAAAAUCCACAUGGACCUUUUAAUUGUGAGAGAAGUAUGAGAAAUGCAAGAAGAAUGCUCCAUGUAAAAUGAGCAUGCCACAUUUAGAAAAAUCUUGAUUUCAAUAUAAAAAAUGCUGUGCACAUUGAAAUUGAAUUAUGCAGCUUAUUACUUCUGAAAAUGGUUGCACCUCUUGAUCGAUCAGGUCAAGAGUUACGUAAGGCCUUGUAUGCCUUACAUAAAGCACGCCUCAAAUGGGAAUGAUGCUGCAGGAAUAUUUACAUUUUCAAAGCAUUCUUCAUAUUUGAAUGGCAGCUGAAUGAACCAUCCCUUAAAAAAAAGAAAGAAAGAAAACAGAGAAUGCUUGUUCAUUAAAUUAAUGAACCUGCUCAGAAAUAUUGAAGGAACAUCGAGCAAACUAUAAUGAUCAUAAGACUUGCAAUAAUGUGUUGGGGGGGGGGGGGGGGGGAGGGAACUACCACUGUCCGAAUUUGGAAAUUUCUCUGACAGGGUACUAGGAUCCAUUCCAUUUCCUGAUUUCUUCAUGCAAACUACAUAAAAUACUUUAUAAAAACUGAGUAAUUUCUAUAACAGAAUUUUGGCAAAUUAAAUCAAAACAGGUUGCUAUAACAGUUCCUACAAAUCUUUCUAUUUUAGCUUUGUUUUGUAUUAUAAAUAUGUCAAGAUGAAGCCUUUUCUGUCAAAACAGAAAUUUUUUUCCUUUUGGGAAAAUUUUCCAAGCAUUUUUUCAGUGCCCUAAUUUUCAGUAUUCGUCAAAGUCAAGAUGAAGGCUAAUUUCAAAUGCUCUAACUUACAUCUGCAUAAUCGUAAACCCAUGAGAACAUAGCUUUAGUCUUAUAAAUGAGUAAUGUCAUUAGAUACAGUAUUGUUAGUUUAACUGACUUUGUUUACUGCUCUGUAUAACAAGUGACUGAAAAAUAAAUGACACUUAACAUUGGCUAAA